UGGCUAUAUCAUGUUAAAACACUGGAUUCUUUACGAUCACCGAAGUUAAGCAACAUUGAGCCUGCUCAGUACCUAGAUGGGUGACCGUUUGGGAAUGCCAGUUGCU